GACGAACGCUGGCGGCGUGCUUAACACAUGCAAGUCGAACGAAGAGCGAUGGAAGCUUGCUUCUAUCAAUCUUAGUGGCGAACGGGUGAGUAACGCGUAAUCAACCUGCCCUUCAGAGGGGGACAACAGUUGGAAACGACUGCUAAUACCGCAUACGAUCCAACCCCGGCAUCGAGGAUAGAUGAAAGGUGGCCUCUACAUGUAAGCUAUCAUUGAAGGAGGCGACUGCGUCUGAUUAGCUAGUUGGAGGGGUAACGGCCCACCAAGGCGAUGAUCAGUAGCCGGUCUGGGAGGAUGAACGGCCACAUUGGGACUGAGACACGGCCCAGGCUCCUACGGGAGGCAGCAGUGGGGAAUCUUCCGCAAUGGACGAAAGUCUGACGGAGCAACGCCGCGUGAGUGAUGACGGCCUUCGGGUUGUAAAGCUCUGUUAAUCGGGACGAAAGGCCUUCUUGCGAAUAGUGAGAAGGAUUGACGGUACCGGAAUAGAAAGCCACGGCUAACUACGUG
rnacentral:rRNA from 1 species